CAGGUCCUUGAUGGAGGGAUAAAUAACUUUGUGUGGUGAUAUGUUACAGGUCCUUGAAGGAGAUGGAGGGAUAAAUAACGUUGUGUGGUGAUAUGUUGCAGGUCCUUGAGGGAGAUGGAGGGAUAAAUAACGUUGUGUGGUGAUAUGUUACAGGUCCUUGAGGGAGAUGGAGGGAUAAAUAACGUUGUGUGGUGAUAUGUUACAGGUCCUUGAGGGAGAUGGAGGGAUAAAUAACGUUGUGUGGUGAUAUGUUACAGGUCCUUGAGGGAGACGGAGGGAUAAAUAACGUUGUGUGGUGAUAUGUUACAGGUCCUUGAGGGAGAUGGAGGGAUAAAUAACUUUGUGUGGUGAUAUGUUACAGGUCCUUGAGGGAGAUGGAGGGAUAAAUAACUUUGUGUGGUGAUAUGUUACAGGUCCUUGAGGGAGAUGGAGGGAUAAAUAACUUUGUGUGGUGAUAUGUUACAGGUCCUUGAGGGAGAUGGAGGGAUAAAUAACUUUGUGUGGUGAUAUGUUACAGGUCCUUGAGGGAGAUGGAGGGAUAAGUAACUUUGUGUGGUGAUAUGUUACAG
ensembl:lncRNA